rnacentral:rRNA from 1 species
AUUGAACGCUGGCGGCAGGCCUAACACAUGCAAGUCGAACGGUAGCACAGAGAGCUUGCUCUCGGGUGACGAGUGGCGGACGGGUGAGUAAUGUCUGGGAAACUGCCUGAUGGAGGGGGAUAACUACUGGAAACGGUAGCUAAUACCGCAUAACGUCGCAAGACCAAAGAGGGGGACCUUCGGGCCUCUUGCCAUCAGAUGUGCCCAGAUGGGAUUAGCUAGUAGGUGGGGUAACGGCUCACCUAGGCGACGAUCCCUAGCUGGUCUGAGAGGAUGACCAGCCACACUGGAACUGAGACACGGUCCAGACUCCUACGGGAGGCAGCAGUGGGGAAUAUUGCACAAUGGGCGCAAGCCUGAUGCAGCCAUGCCGCGUGUAUGAAGAAGGCCUUCGGGUUGUAAAGUACUUUCAGCGGGGAGGAAGGUGUUGUGGUUAAUAACCACAGCAAUUGACGUUACCCGCAGAAGAAGCACCGGC